rnacentral:rRNA from 1 species
UACGAAGGGGGCUAGCGUUGCUCGGAAUCACUGGGCGUAAAGGGUGCGUAGGCGGGUCUUUAAGUCAGGGGUGAAAUCCUGGAGCUCAACUCCAGAACUGCCUUUGAUACUGAGGAUCUUGAGUUCGGGAGAGGUGAGUGGAACUGCGAGUGUAGAGGUGAAAUUCGUAGAUAUUCGCAAGAACACCAGUGGCGAAGGCGGCUCACUGGCCCGGAACUGACGCUGAGGUGCGAAAGCGUGGGAGCA